AUGUCCCCAUAAGUCCGUCUGACAUAGAAUGAUAUUUAUUCUCAUAUAUAUAAAAGGAAAGAAUAAAUAUCAUUCUAUGUCAGACGGACUUGUGGGGACAU